AGUUAAUGAACUUGUAUAAGUAUUUAUUUUGAAAAUAAAAAAAAGAGUAUACCCUCUAUUAACUU
rnacentral:tRNA from 1 species